rnacentral:rRNA from 1 species
UAUAAGGUCAAGUUAGUAAGGGCAUACGGUGGAUGCCUAGGCGCUGAGAGGCGAAGAAGGGCGCGGAUAACUGCGAAA